GUGCCAGCAGCCGCGGUAAUACGAAGGGGGCUAGCGUUGCUCGGAAUUACUGGGCGUAAAGGGAGCGUAGGCGGACAUUUAAGUCAGNGGGUGAAAUCCCGGGGCUCAACCUCGGAAUUGCCUUUGAUACUGGGUGUCUUGAGUAUGAGAGAGGUGUGUGGAACUCCGAGUGUAGAGGUGAAAUUCGUAGAUAUUCGGAAGAACACCAGUGGCGAAGGCGACACACUGGCUCAUUACUGACGCUGAGGCUCGAAAGCGUGGGGAGCAAACAGGAUUAGAUA
rnacentral:rRNA from 1 species